AUUUUGUAUAGUGUGAAUUUCCGGGUUACACACGACUUUUGUUACACACAACACCGAGCCAUAAUGGGGUGCUUACACACUUUGCAUCCUUGCCAUAUUCGCGCAUGCGCAAAAAAAACUUCCUACGGAAACAAGGUCGAGUGGAUGACAAUGCAAAUUUGACGCAACAGAUUAUGAGAUACAGAUGAAACAUGCAGGGAACCAUGUAAAUGAUUCUGAAAGUGGCUACCCAGGUGCUGUUUAAGGAAGCUUGUAAUAGGAGUGGAAAA